rnacentral:rRNA from 1 species
UAGGGAAUAUUGGACAAUGGGUGAGAGCCUGAUCCAGCCAUGCCGCGUGCAGGAAGAAGGCGUUAUGCGUUGUAAACUGCUUUUGCCAGGGGAUAAAAAGACCGUGCGCGGUUAAUUGAAGGUACCUGGUGAAUAAGCCACGGCUAACUACGUGCCCGCAGCCGCGGUAAUACGUAGGUGGCAAGCGUUGUCCGGAUUUAUUGGGUUUAAAGGGUGCGUAGGUGGCCCUGUAAGUCAGUGGUGAAAUAUCUCAGCUUAACUGAGAGGGUGCCAUUGAUACUGCAGGGCUUGAGUACAGAUGAGGUAGGCGGAAUUGACGGUGUAGCGGUGAAAUGCAUAGAUAUCGUCAAGAACACCGAUAGCGAAGGCAGCUUACCAAGCUGUAACUGACACUGAGGCACGAAAGUGUGGGGAUCGAAACAGGAUUAGAUACCCCCGUAGUCCCUGAGCGGGCUGGCAAGGCGCAU